UCUGCACUCCCUCUGCUGCAGGCCUGAGCUCUCCUUGCCCCUGGCUCUCUUCUGCAGAGAACCUACUCUCAGCUGCCACAGGAGGGCGCUAGAGAACGGGCCUGAGCAGAGAGGCAGGAGCUCCUCUGCAGGUCCUCCCAGGCAGCACCCCUUCUGGGAGGAAGGCUUGGGAGUCCCCUAAGACAGAUCAUCAGUAGUUUCUUUCUGCCUGUGACUCAGGAAGACCAGCUCCCCCCACUGCCUUCUAUGCUAGGGAUCACUUUCUUGUUGAGUGGGACCUGAGUUUUGAGAGGGUGUUGUGCUCCUCUUCAUCUGGUCCCUUUCCUUCCAAGGCCCCAGAGAGGAAGGCAUGGGGUGGGCCCUAGCCCUGCUUCUAGCUUUCCUGCCUCCUGUCAGUCAGGUAUCUUCCAACUUAGAAGGGAGAACGAAGCUAGUCACCGGGUGGACCGGGUCAUCUGAUGUAAUCACUUGUGAUCUUCCGGUAGAAAAUGCCAGAUACAUCCACUGGUACUUCCACCAGGAAGGCAAGGCCCUACAGCGUCUUCUGUACUAUGACACCCACCAGUCCAAGAUUGUGUUGGAUUCAGGAAUCAGUCCAGGAAAGAAGGAUAAUUAUCUAAUCCUGAAGGGGAGCUGGAAAUUGGUACUGCAAAAUCUAAUUGAAAAUGAUUCUGGGGUCUAUUACUGUGCCACCUGGGACAGGCACAGUGGUUCAGACCAGCCCUACACCAGACUGAAAUCUGCCUUGGCUCCUUAGCUGCCCCCUCUCAUGUCCUGCCACUGAAUUUACUGUAUUCUGUACAAAGAUAAUCACAGCUUCACUCCUGAUCUCCGCCUAAUAUCACACUCCCCUGGCAGCAGCUGCACCUGUUCCCCACCCCUCCCCCAGGACUUUCCUGAAGACCAAGCUGCCAUCUCCAGGCCUCAGCUAAGCAGCCUGCCUGAGAGCAAGGUUCUCUCAGCUCUCCUAGGACACAGGGAAUGUCCACUCACUCUGCUUCCUAGGACACACAGGUAUGCCUAGGGUCCCGCUGUGAUUGAGAUACUUUGGACAGCAAAUGGGAAGGGUAUUUAUAUCGAAUCAUGUAUCCAGAGAUCACAGCUGAGAGCAGUGCUCCUCUUUUAGGUAUAUAACAAUAUAUGUAAUACUAUACUUACCACUAAAACACUUGGCCUAGAUAUGCAGUGGAAAAUUC